GUCUGCUGCCUGUGCCACUGCAGGCCCCAGACGGUGCCCACCUGGCCCCAGCGCACAUCCGCUGCCUCCGGGGCCCCUCCUGGGGGUGCGCAGGUCCCUCCAGACAUGAUGGGGUGGCCGUGGCUGUCCUGCCUCUUGCUUCCUGCCCUUGUGGUGUCUGUGGCAGCCAACACGGCCCCAAUGUUCGCAUCCAACAUGUCGAUGGUGAGCCUGCCUGAAGAUCUGCCAGUGGGUGCCGAGGCCUUCUGGUUGGCAGCUCAGGACCAAGAAAAUGACGAGCUGAAAUAUGGGAUUAGUGGCUCCAAUGCCUACUUCUUUAAUGUCACCUCAAAUACUGGGGAAGUGAAGCUGGCCAGCCCUCUGGACUAUGAGACGCUCUACUGGUUCGCCAUCACCAUCUCCGUGAGCGACAGUUACAACAACCGAGUGCAGAGGGAAAUGCAGGUGAUUGUAGAGGACAGAAACGACAAUGCGCCUGUUUUCCAGGGCAUAAGCUUCUCCGCCAAUGUCAGCGAGACCUUGCCGGUGGGCUCCCUGGUGUUAUCUGUGCUGGCCACAGACAAAGACACAGGCUCGGCCGGCGCGGUGGUAUACUCCAUAGAAAAGGUCAUUCCUGCCACGGAAGGCAGUGAGUACCUCUUCAGGAUCCUACCCAAUGGUUCCAUCAUCCUCAAUGGCAGCCUCGACUACAACAGCAAGAGUUCCUUCUAUCAGCUGGAGCUGAAGGCCUGUGACUCGGGCGGCCUGUACAACAAUCACACCGUCAUCCAGUGCUCCUCAUCUGUCUUCGUGUCCAUCUCUGUAAUUGACAAGCCAGACCUGGACCCCCAGUUUGUUAGGGAGUUUUACUCAGCCUCCGUGGCUGAGGAUACACCCCAGGGAACCUCGGUGCUGAAGGUGGAGGCCAUGGAUGGUGACAGAGGCAUCAAUGACCCUGUGAUCUACAGCAUCUCCAAUUCCACAAGGCCUGGCUGGUUUGAUAUUGGCAAGCAAGAUGGGGUGAUCACAGUCAACAGUCCCCUGGACAGAGAGCAACUGCUGGAGGAGGAUGAGGAAGUGCAAGUGCAGGUCACGGCCACCGAGACGCACCCCAACAUCCACGGGCAGGAGGCCAAGGCGAGCAUAUGGGUCACGCUGAGAGUGACAGACGUCAAUGACCACGUACCUGAGUUUUACAACUGCAGCCUCCAAGACUGCGCAUUCACUCCCAACGAGACUCAAGUCAACUUCACUGGCUACGUGGAUGAGCACGCCUCCACGCGCAUCCCCAUUGAGGACCUCACCAUGGUGGUCUACGACCCAGACAAGGGCAGCAACGGCACCUUCCUGCUGACCUUGGGGGGCCCGGAUGCCGAAGCCUUUAGCGUCUCCCCGCAGCGGGCAGCGGGCUCGGUGGAUGUGCAGGUGCUGGUGAGGGAGCCGUCGCUGGUGGACUACGAGAGGCAGUCCGUGAUGCUCGUACAGGUCACAGCCACUGACUCUGUCAGCGGGAACACCUCUGUUGCCUCGGUGACCAUCCACCUUCGAGACACCAAUGACGACAGGCCCACGUUCCCCAGCAGCAUGUACAACCUCAGCGUCUUUGAGCACAGUGCUGUUGGCUAUGUGGUCACCGACAGCAUCCGCGCCUCCGAUCCCGACACAGGAGAGGGGGGCCGUAUCACCUACAGCCUGCUUCCAGGGAAUGGGGCGGACAUCUUUGCAGUGGAUCCAGACUCGGGGAAGGUGACGGUGAGCAACAGCGAGCUGCUGGACCGGGAGAAGCAGGCUGUGUACUACCUCACGCUGCAGGCCACGGACGGCGGGAACCUGUCGUCCUCGACCACGCUACAGAUCCAUGUGCUAGACGUCAACGAUAACAGUCCCGUGGUCAGCGGCUCCUACAACAUCUUUGUCCAGGAGGAGGAGGGAAAUGUCUCCGUGACCAUCCAGGCUCACGACAAUGACCAGCCAGACACCAACAACAGCCUGCUGCACUUCAGCCUCCUGCCCAGCCCCUUCAGCCACAACUUCUCAGCGGACCCCGACAAAGGCAUUCUCAGAAACCUGGGGCCCUUGGACCGAGAGGCCAUCGACCCUGCUCUGGGGGGCCGCAUCGUGCUGAGCGUGAACGUGUCUGACUCUGGCGAACCUGCCCUGUGGACCACAGUCAAUGUCACCAUCACCGUGGAGGACAUCAAUGAUAAUCUGCCCAUCUUCAACCAGUCCAGAUAUUUCUUCUCAGUGAGGGAGAGAGACCCAGGAGUGCAGGUGGGCAUGGUGGAGGCCUGGGAUGCAGACCAGACGGAAGCCAACAAUCGUAUCAGCUUCAGCCUGUCAGGGAGCGGCGCCAACAACUUCAUGAUCCGAGGCUCGGUGCUGGGGUCUGGGCAGGCAGUGGGCCGCCUCUCGUUGCCCUCGGAUGUGAGCCUGGACUACGAGACACAGGCCUCCUUCAGUCUGAUCGUGAGUGCCGAGAAUGCGGACACCCAGGGGCGUGAGACUACAGCAGAAGUCCUUGUGACUGUGGAGGAUGUGAAUGACGUGCCACCCACCCUGGACUCAGCCUCGCUCCAGGGCAUCCGGGUGGCCGAGAAUGGCUCACAGCACGGCAUUCUGGUCAACGUGGUGGCCCAGGACAGGGAUACCAUGUCCCAGGUGGAGGUACAGCUCAUGAAUGUCAUCUGCACCAAGGCUGGAGUUGACGUGGGCAGCCUGUGCCACGGCUGGUUCUCUGUGCUGGCCAAUGGCUCGGUGAUCAUCAACCAGAGCGAGGCCAUCGACUAUGAGGCCUGUGACUUGGUCACGCUGGUCGUGCGGGCCUAUGACCUCACAACAGACCCCCGCUUCCAGGCAUACAGUGACAACGGAAGCCUCCCCAUCACCAUCGAGGAUGUGAAUGACAACGCGCCUUACUUUCUGCCUGAGGAUAAGACUUUUGUGAUCAUCCCAGAACUCGUCAUGCCCAACCAGCAGGUGGCGUCCGUCCGGGCCAGAGAUGACGACUCAGGGAACAACGCAGCCAUCCUGUUCUCCAUCUUUCAAGUGGAUUUCAUCGCUAAGGAUGGGGCCGUGACCCCUUUCCAGGGCUUCUUCCGGGUCUCCACUUCCUCGGAGGCCAGCGUGUUCACUGGCAACAUUGACCUGGUGACCAGCCUUGAUUCCACUCUCCAAGGCACCUACCAAGUGACGGUCAAGGCCCAAGACAAGCCUUCUGAGGGUCCUGCCCAGGAAGCCAAAAUCACCCUAAACCUCUUCACCGUGGACCAGAGUUACCGCGUGAGGCUGCAGUUCUCACUGAACAAAGAGGACGUGGGCGCCAACUCGGACAAGAUUAAAGCGGCUCUUGCUCAGGCAACCAGGACUACUGUCUACAUUGUGAACAUUCAGGACAUAGACUCCCAGGUUCGGGCCCGAGGACGUUCCUAUCUUGAUGCCUAUUUUGUCUUCUCAAAUGGGUCGGCCUUGACCCUUGACCAGCUGAGUAUGAUGAUCCGGAAUGACCAGGACUCCCUGACGCAGCUGCUGCAGCUGGGGCUGGUGGUACUGGGCUCCCAGGACAGCCAAGAGUCGGAGUCACAGGACACACUCCGCAACGUCACCAUAGGACUGGGAGUGGCUUUGCUGCUGGCCAUUGUGAUCUUUAGCACGAUCAUCAUGUGUACCCAGAAGAGCUACCAGCGGAAGCUUCGGGCUAUGAAAGCCGCCAAGGAGGCCCGGAAGACAGCGGUGGGGGUGAUGCCCCCAGGCUCUGCCAUCCCUGGGACUAAUAUGUACAACACUGAGAGGGCCAAUCCCAUGCUGAACCUCCCCGCCAAGGACCUGGGCUUUGAGUCCCAUUCUUCCUCCAGCGACUUGGACCACAUCAGCGUCAACUCCCUGGAUGACAAUUCUGUGGAUCUGGAAAACAGCACGCAGGAAAUCAAGGCAAGAUGGGGGAUGAGUUGGUACCUGGGGUUUCUGACUUAGGGUGCUUCUCUGAAGAGGUGGGGUUCAGGACAGAGCUCGAGGGAUCUGCUGCUGACAUGGGUGUGUCUCUGCACUCAGCCUUGGGAAAUCCCAUGGCUUUGGAAUGGGACCCAAUCCUUAUUCCUCUACUCAUUCACUGUGACCCUGGGUGGGUGACUUCUUCCCUCUGGUUCUCAGUUUUCUAAUCUAUAAAUGGGGAUCAGAACACCAACUAUUCAAAACUGUUGUGAGGAUGAAAUAAGAGUGGGUAUAAAAACCAUCUGGCACAAAGCAAGUGCUCAGAAAUCUGGUUCCUUCCCUUUAUAUCCUUUAUAUAAAAGCUGGUGGGGUGGGAAGAGGAGAUCCGGAGAUGAACAUAAUCCAACUGAAGAGCAAAGAAGGAGCCCUGGCAUGGUCCCAUGGGGCCACAUCCAGAGCCCAGGAAGAGUGAGCUGUCCGGGAGGAAGGUGGGCUCAGAGCAGAAGGAGGAGCUGGCCUUCACUAACCUUGGCCUGGACACCACAG